CAAGGUGACACUCUACCGCUGAGUUAUACCCCUUCCCUUGUCCCUAAUCGAGAAAAAAGACUGACUAAUCCUAAGUCAAAAGGUCGAGAAAUUCAACGCGACUAUUUUUUUUUAACUUAAACGGGCCUCCGUGGAACACUCUUAGCUGAAUGGGCAAAAUUAGAUUUAAUUGUCAACUGCUCCGAUCGGAAAUAGGAUUGACUAUGGAUUUGCGCAAUAUCAUAUGAUUUCAUAAAACCAUAGGAUUUUCCGGAUCUAAAUAAAGAAGAUUUAGCUCAGUGUUCUAUUCAAUACGGGUAAGAACCCGACUCCGUAUUCUUAAAAAUAGAAAUAAAUCAGAACGAAGGCAAGAUUAAAUGGAUGAACCCCUUUUUUCUUGUGACAAAGAUUUUUUCAUUUACGAAGUAACUGGAGUUACAUCUGUGUUUCAACUUCUCCCCGAGACCCUGAAAAAGAUACAAAUUUUUUUUAGGAACACAUAUAAGAUUCAUCAUUACAAAACAAAAAACAGAGGGGUAAUCCGACCAUUAACACAGAAUUUUGAACUUGUUAUCCUCUUGUCUAGCAGGCAAUUACUUCAGCGAAAAGGAUGAUUUAUUCGGAUCGACAUGAGAGCCCAACCACAUUGCAUUGCCAAAAUCUAUGUUGUAUAUUGGAAAGACGUUGAUCUACUUGCUUUUAUGAUGUUACAAUCCUCUUGUUGCCUUUCUCCUCGGCCCACAGCGACAAAAUGUAGGUAGUUCAUCACGAAAGAAAGGACUCGCUGAGCCGAGAUCAUUAACUAAUAUAUAAUAAUAGAAUAGUAUACAAUAGAACUGUCUUUUCCAUAUAUUCUCUCUGGUUCCGUUGCUACUACACGCUUUACACAAUUCAUCGUCGUAUCAUAAAUAGAUAGAUAUCUUUUUAACAUAGGUCAUCGAAAGGAUCUCAAAGACCCACCAAAGCACGAAAGCCGGGAUUUUUCACAAAAUAGAUUCCUAUUCAAAGAGUGCAUAACCGCAUGGAUAAGCUCACACUAACCCGUCAAUUUAAGAUCCAAUUCCGUAUUUUCUUUGGGAAAUAUUGGGAAGGAAUUGGAAUGGAAUAAUAUUGAUUCAUACAGAAAAAAAGGUUUUCUAUUGAUAUUGAUUUAAACAGUAUACUUACAACAUAGGUAGAAAGAGAAAAAACCAACAAUUUCAUAUAGUGCUUUUGAUCAAAAAAUAAUCUUCUUUAUUCCGUACCUGACCUUUCAAUGAAUAAGAAAAUGGGUCAGAUCUUACAGGAUGAAACGAAGGAAUAAUGGCAAAAAAGAAAAGAAAUAAGUAAAAAGAAUAAUUUUCUCCUUUGAGAAUAAAAAAAAGUGUUCAAUUCAAACAUGAAAACGUGACUGACUUAAUUAGUUCUCGUGAUUUUGGAUUUGGGGGAAGAAGUGGAGAUUAUCGAACGAGGAUAAAGGAUCGAAUUACGUCGAAAGAAUUGAACGAGGAGCCGUAUGCGGUGAAAUUCUCAUGUACGGUUCUGUAGAGUGGCAGUAAGGAUUACUUAUCUGUCAACUUUUCCACUAUUAACCCUAAAAAACCAAACUCUGCGUUACGUAAAGUUGUCAGAGUACGCUUAACCUCUGGAUUUGAAAUCACUGCUUAUAUACCUGGUAUUGGCCAUAAUUUACAAGAACAUUCUGUAGUCUUAGUAAGAGGGGGAAGGGUUAAGGAUUUACCUGGUGUGAGAUAUCACAUUGUUCGAGGAACCCUGGAUGCUGUCGCAGUAAAGGAUCGUCAACAAGGGCGUUCAAAAUAUGGAGCCAAAAAGCCAAAAUAAAUUAUUUUAGCCCCCAUAAGUUAUAAAAAAAUGGAUUAUUACGCUCAUGUCACGACGAGGUACUGCAGAAAAAAAAUAGCAAAAUCCGAUCCAAUUUAUCGUAAUCGAGUAGUUAACAUGUUGGUGAACCGUAUUAUGAAACACGGAAAAAAAUCAUUGGCUUAUCUAAUUAUCUAUCGAGCUAUGAAAAGGAUUCAACAAAAGACAAAAACAAAUCCACUAUCCGUUUUACGUGAAGCAAUACGUCGGGUAACUCCCAAUCUAGCAGUAAAAGCAAGACGCGUGAGCGGAUCGACUCAUCAAGUUCCCAUUGAAAUAAAAUCGACACAAGAAAAAGAACUUGCCAUUCGUUGGUUAUUAGCGGCAUCCCAAAAACGUCCUGGUCGAAAUAUGGCUUUCAAAUUAAGUUCCGAAUUAGUGGAUACUGCCAAAGGGAGUGGUGAUGCCAUACGCAAAAAGGAAGAGACUCAUAGAAUGGCGGAGGCAAAUAGAACUUUUGCACAUUCCCGGAUAGGUCCUGAAAGGAGAAAGAAGGUUGGCAUGCCAACAAGCGUCUAUUAUGGAAUUCACCCGACCCGAGAGUACAUUACCGAUUUUUUUGAAUGUCGAGUGCCAAAGUCAUUGAAUGCGUAA